rfam:Drosophila persimilis strain MSH-3 cont1.000163, whole genome shotgun sequence.
CAAAACGUCCUUUUCAGGACGACCAAACUAUGUCAAAAGAAUUAAG